GACCCGUCUUGAAACACGGACCAAGGAGUCUAGCAUGUGCGCGAGUCAUCGGGACCGCACUAAACCUAAAGGCGAAAUGAAAGUGAAGGUCCGCCUCGCGCGGACCGGGGGAGGAUCGGCCGGCGACCGCCAUACGGCGCCGCCGCGCACUCCCGGGGCGUCUCGAGCUCCUCGCGAGCGAGGCGCACCCAGAGCGUACACGCUGGGACCCGAAAGAUGGUGAACUGUGCCUGGUCAGGACGAAGUCAGGGGAAACCCUGAUGGAGGUCCGUAGCGAUUCUGACGUGCAAAUCGAUCGUCGGAACUGGGUAUAGGGGCGAAAGACUAAUCGAACUAUCUAGUAGCUGGUUCCCUCCGAAGUUUCCCUCAGGAUAGCUGGCGCUCAAUCGAGCGAGUCUCAUACGGUAAAGCGAAUGAUUAGAGGCAUUGGGUUCGAAACGGCCUCAACCUAUUCUCAAACUUUAAAUGGGUGAGAUCUCCGGCUUGCUCGAAUAAUUUUGAUGAAGCCGCGAGUAUCGGAUCAGAGUGCCAAGUGGGCCAUUUUUGGUAAGCAGAACUGGCGCUGUGGGAUGAACCAAACGCAGAGUUAAAGCGCCGAAAUCGACGCUCAUUGGAUACCAUGAAAGGCGUUGGUAACUUAAGACAGCAGGACGGUGGCCAUGGAAGUCGGAAUCCGCUAAGGAGUGUGUAA
rnacentral:rRNA from 1 species